AAAAACAUGCAUAGUGAUUUUUAUGCCUUAUACAUAUAUAAUCAUUUCUCAUGCUGACAGUAAUUUUCAUGGUAUUCAAUUAUUUUUUUGUUAAUUUAAUUAUUUUUUUAGUAUCUAUUUCAAUAUUCAUAUUGCUGCUAAAAUUAUAUUUGAUGUAUAUUUUAGUAUAUUAUAUAGUAUAUUAUACACCUGACGAAGGUCAAGUGACCAAAACCUAGUUAAUAAAGAUAUAAGAUACAGUUUAUAUGCCAACUGUAGUGUGGGGGAUCCUUUUUCUUCUUUUUCCUAAUAGCAUAUUGUAAUAAAAUGACUGUCUUUACUCUGGAUGUCAGCAAUCCUUAAGUCCUGGAACUACAUUUGAGCAGCUUCAGCGAGCCCAGACUUUGACAAGGUCAAAAAAUCAUCUCUUGUUUUAACUGGGAGCAGUUGUCAUUAUCUGGCAGAAACCCCACGUCUCGUCCUGCACACAUAAGAUGAAGUGAUCAAUCUCCAUUCAAGAAAACCAGUGCUUGACCGCUUCUCCAAGACUUUACAUCUGCUUAAAUCAAGACUCGACCCGAGGGCUUUCAGUCCUAUUACAAUGAAAGCGCUCAAGUUAUUUUCAUUAUGCUGCUUGAAAGGGAUGUAGAAUCAAUUUUACAGUUUUUUACAGCUCUGUUUUAUGAAAAGUGAGUGAAAAAGAGCAUGUUUUAUCUAAUAAAUUCCAGGGAUGGAGUGGAAGAGAAAGAUCUCCACCUGGGUCAGAGUACAGCAAACCAGCGAACCCUCAGAAGUGACUAUUUAUACAAGAGUUCAGGAGUCUGCGCAACGUCUCUCUCGUCCUGCACGUGCGAGUUUGAAGCCUUGGACCGCGGUGAAGGGGUUAUUUGAGCAGCUUCCAUUUACCGCUGGGCCCGUUCCAAGGGAAAGUGUAGAGUUGGGCCAAAAUCUGUGGACAGCUACUGAUGAGAUCUGCCGAGUCCAAAAAUGUGAGCGCAAUAAAACAACGGCAUGAGGAAAAGCUGGACGUCCUCCUGGGCUGCAUUAGCGAGAUCUGAAUCAUUUGCGGUGGAUUGCGAGGGAUUUGCACACUUCUGAGGAGGCGUUUUGACCAGGACACAGAGGUUAAAGGCUAUACAUAUUGCCCACUUCUCCAAAUCUGAUGAAGAAUCUACAUUUUGGAUGACCUGAGUUUCUGCUCCAAAAUAUAGUGACCUUCCUAGACAGCAUUUCCAAAGCAUCAUAAGUGCAGUCCUGGCUUAAAGGCAUGUGAAGGGAAUCCCAGAAUGCAUUGCGAUUAACAAUUCUAUGUGGAUGGCAGACGAGCAUCAUUACUCCAGUCUUCAGUGUCACAUGAUCUUCAGAAAUCAUUCUAAUAUGCUGAUUUUCUGCUCAAGAAACAUUUCUGAUUGUGCUGCCAAUAUUUUUGUGGAAACUGUGAUACAUUGUAUUUUUCAAGAUUCACAGAUGAAUAGAAAGUUCAAAAGAACAGCAUUUAUUUGAAAUAGAAAUUUUUUGCAACGAUUAUAAAUGUCUUCACUGUCACUUUUGAUCUAUUUAAUGCAU